CCUACGGGCGGCAGCAGUGGGGGAUAUUGCACAAUGGGGGGAACCCUGAUGCAGCGACGCCGCGUGGGUGAAGGAGUGCUUCGGCAUGUAAAGCCCUAUCGGCAGGGAAGAAGCAAGACGGUACCUGACUAAGAAGCCCCGGCUAACUACGUGCCAGCAGCCGCGGUAAUACGUAGGGGGCGAGCGUUAUCCGGAUUCACUGGGUGUAAAGUGAGCGUAGACGGCCAUGCAAGCCAGGGGUGAAAGCCCGGGGCCCAACCCCGGGACUGCCCUUGGAACUGUGCGGAUAGAGUGCGGGAGGGGCAGGCGGAAUUCCUGGUGUAGCGGUGAAAUGCGUAGAUAUCAGGAGGAACACCGGCGGCGAAGGCGGCCUGCUGGACCGCGACUGACGUUGAGGCUCGAAAGCGUGGGGAGCGAACAGGAUUAGAUACCCCUGUAGUC
rnacentral:rRNA from 1 species